AUGCUGUCUGAUGAUGACACAAUUCUUAACUUUAGCAUUUGGAUGGCUGAAGCAGAAGGUAUAUGGAACCUACCACUCAUACCCAUUUCUUGUGGUCCUGUCUUGACAGAUAUGGGCCGGAUAUUCUUGGUGAAACGAUAUCGUAGAGUGCGUCCAGGACUUGGGAGUUUUUGGAGAUCUGAGAGGGAUUGUUCUGAAAGAGGUUGUGGGUUGUCGGGACAACGGUUUUCGCGGAGGUCUUCGAUUCAAAGAUUCGAAGGUUGA